AGUAACGCGUAGGAAUCUGCCUAACAGCGGGGGGACAACCUGGAGAAAUCCAGGCUAAUACCGCAUACGCCCUGCGGGGGAAAGAAGGCCUCUUCUUGAAAGCUUUCACUGUUAGAUGAGCCUGCGUUAGAUUAGCUUGUUGGUGGGGUAAUGGCCCACCAAGGCGACGAUCUAUAGCUGGUCUGAGAGGAUGACCAGCCACACUGGGACUGAGACACGGCCCAG
rnacentral:rRNA from 1 species